rnacentral:lncRNA from 1 species
GAUUUGGCCGGAAAACCACGGAUCGAAGCCAAAACCACUCCGGCUGCAGUUUGGGACUUUUGCCGAUUCCCGACGAUUCCGGCCACCUCCGGCCCCCAUUUCUUCGUCGAAGUUAUGAAGACGUGAGGAGGAUUUCCUUGAGGAGGGUUUGGAUCGACGGCAAGCUUAGCCGUACUUUAUCACAGUACUGUGGACCGGCAUAGGAGCGGAGGCUAGUACCACCUUUGUCAUCCAUUCUCAG